GAAGCCUGCCAGACUGUCGCUGGUGCAAGCCGCAAGGACGACGCUUCGGCGUCGGGUGGAAACACCGCAUUGGAGGAACGUCCGGACUGCACAGGGCAGCGUAGCAGCUAACGGCUGUCCACUGAAAGCCGCUCACGCAAGUGAGCGGUAUAAGGUGAGGAUUAGAGCAACAGAGACGAGUCGCAGCGGGGCAACCUGAUGCGGGUGAAACGGGCAAUCUCUACGCGCAGCAAUACCAAGUAGGCACACGUUGACGGGGCCCCCGGAGUGUGCGGGUAGGUAGCAUGAGCUAUUGGGCGACCAAUAGCCCAGAUUAAUGGCAGUCACAUAGAGAAAGAUCGCAAGGUCUUACCCCAUGCACAGAAUCCGGCUUAUCGGCGGGCUUCACAC
rnacentral:RNase_P_RNA from 1 species